rnacentral:rRNA from 1 species
UACAGAGGGGGCGAGCGUUGUUCGGAAUUACUGGGCGUAAAGGGCGCGUAGGCGGCCUAUUAAGUCAUACGUGAAAUCCCUCGGCUCAACCGGGGAACUGCGUGUGAUACUGAUUGGCUUGAAUUCGGGAGAGGGAUGCGGAAUUCCAGGUGUAGCGGUGAAAUGCGUAGAUAUCUGGAGGAAUACCGGUGGCGAAGGCGGCAUCCUGGACCGGCAUUGACGCUGAGGAGCGAAAGCUAGGGGAGCAAACGGG